AAAUGAAUUGACGGGGACCCGCACAAGCGGUGGAGCAUGUGGUUUAAUUCGACAAUAAACGGAGAACCUUACCAAGGCUUGACAUUUGCAGAAUCCUUUGGAAACAGAGGAGUGCUCGCAAGAGAGCUGUAAAACAGGUGCUGCAUGGUUGUCGUCAGCUCGUGCUGUGAAGUGUAUGGUUAAGUCCAAUAACGAGCGCAACCCCUAUUGUAAGUUACUAUGUCUUACGAAACUGACCACUUCAAGUGGUAGGAAGGUGGGGAUGACGUCAAAUCAGCACGGCCCUUACGCCUUGGGCCACACACGUGCUACAAUGGGUAAGAACAAAGGGUAGCUAAGUCGCAAGAUGGAGCUAAUCCCAGCAAAAUUACCCUCAGUUCAGAUUGAGGUCUGCAACUCGACCUCAUGAAGUCGGAAUCGCUAGUAAUCGUGGGUCAGCACACCACGGUGAAUACGUUCUCGGGUCUUGUACACACCGCCCGU
rnacentral:rRNA from 1 species